CAUAUGAAGCCACGUGGGUUAUAAAGUGAUUUAUUCCUGGAGCGUGCCUGUUCGAGGUUCACUCCAAAUGAUGCAAUCAAGUUUAAAGGUGACCAGUGUGGGAAUUUUGAGGCUAUAAUUGGAAAGUGUUGUGCACUUUUCAGUUAUGAUGGUCAAGAUGAACUAUUUGUUGCCGCCUUUCAGUCCUUAUUUAAGCUUCGGUUUAUGCAGGGGAAGAUGGGAAGCAUGAACAACCUGCUGCCAACAGUUUUUUUUGUUGCGAUAAAUUUUUCUGUUGUAUAGAAAGUAUAUAUUUUCUACUUGGGUGAUACAAAUUUAGGAAAAUCACACCCU
rnacentral:misc_RNA from 1 species